ACCUCCCCUUCAAAGCCCCGCCCCCCGGCUUGGCACAGGCCCCGCCCCUUUCCAUCUGAGGGGCGACAGAAGGGCGCCUGGGGCAAGAUGGCGGUGAAUCAGAGCCACACCGAGAACCGCCGCGGGGCUUUCAUUCCUUCCAGCGACAGUGUCUUGAUGCAGUCUCAGGAUGUGGACCUCUCCUUCCCACAGCAACCAGAGAGAUCCAGUCUCUUCAGUGGUACAAAGAGGGGGACACUGUUUCUCACUUCAUACCGGGUGAUCUUCGUGACUUCACACUUAGUCAGUGAUCCCAUGUUUUCUUUCAUGAUGCCAUUUGAUCUGAUGAGUAACUGCACCGUUGAACAACCGGUCUUUGCUGCCAACUACAUUAAAGGGACUAUUCAGGCAGCUCCGGAUGGUGGCUGGGAAGGACAGGCUACUUUUAAAUUAGCCUUCAGAAAAGGAGGUGCCAUCGAAUUUGCCCAGCUGAUGGUGAAAGCUGCCUCUGCUGCUGCCAGAGGAGUUCCACUUGGAAGUGCAAGUUACUGGUUCAGCCCUCCAGGACUGCUUGUAGUUACUGGGCAGGGGAACAUGAUGUGCACGCAACAGAUGCCUUGUCCAGCAUACCCAUUUGUUGUCUAUGGAUCCCCACAGGCAGGAUAUGGACCCCCACAGGCAGGAUAUGGACCCCCACAGGCUGGAUAUGGACCCCCACAGGUGGAAUAUAGACACCUGCCAUGGGGAUACGGACCCCCACCAGCAGGAUACGGACCCCCACCUGUGGGAUCUGGAGCCCCACCAGGAGCAUACAGAGCCCUGCCUGUGGGAUACGGAGCCCUCCCAGCUGGAAACGAAACCUUACCGACUGGAAGUGAAAACCCAGGGGCUGGAAAUCAAGCCCCACCUCCAGGAUAUGAAGUUUCACCUGCUGGAAUUAGAGCUGGGUCUGGCAAAUCUGUGGCAAUCCAACCUCCUGGGUAUGAGGCUUCUCUUCCCCCUGCCUCAUCUUCUCAGAGCCAUUCACCAUCUUCCAAGAAUUAAACCUUGAAGACUCGCCAAGCAAAGUGGCACCCGAAAACCGAAGUCAGAAUAGGAAGGUAGACUCAGGUGCCAGGCAGUCGGAAGCGUUUCCUGCGCAUGUGGUGGCCUGAUCCUGUCUGCGCAUCUGUGAGGUCCUGGGAAAUGAUAUGGGAAAGGGAGAGGCUGUCUCCAUUCCUGGAGCCAUCUGAUAAUGAGGUAAGGAUGGCAGAAAAGUGUGGAUAACAUUGAAUGGGAUAAAAGGAAUGUUACAAUGUUACUUUGCACUGAUAUGCACAAGGUCUGAAAAUGGCAGGAGGAUGUCCAUUCCUAAUGAUACCCAGUCCUAUCCGUCUUCAAUCCUCCUCUUGGGCAUCCCAGGGCUGGAAGAUGUACGCAUCUGGACUGGACUCCCCUUUUCUUUGUGUUCAUUGUUGCAUUCCUGGGGAAUGCUGCUGUCCUGUGUGUGAUCCAGACUGAGCAUAUUCUUCACAAGCUCAUGUACUACUUCCUUGCUGUGUUGGACCCUAUUGACCUGAGCCUCUCCACAGCCAGCACCCCUAAAAUGCUGGGUGUCUUCUGGUUGAGUCUCAGAGAUAUAUAUCUCUUUUUUAAAAGUUGAGGUAAGAACAGAACAUAAAGCUUAUCUUAACCAUUUUUAAGUGUAAACUUCAGUAGUGUUAACUAUAUUCACUUUGUUGAGUAGUGGAUCUCUAGGAUUUUUGCAUACAAAACGGAAACUCUAUACCCACUGAACAAUUCCAUUUCCCUUCCCCCAAGCCCCUGGCAACUACCAUUCUACUUUGUUUCUACAAAAUUCACUACUUUAGGUACUUCAUAUAAGUGGAAUCAUACAGUAUCUGUCUUUUUGUGUCUGGCUUAUUUCACUUAACGUAUCCUCAAGGUUCAUCCAUGUUGUAGCAUGUGACAGAACUUCCUUCUUUUUAAGACUGAAAAUAAUAUGUAUGUAUAUACCUAAUUUUCUUUAUACAUUCAUCCAUUAAUGGACUUUUGGGUUACAUGUCUUUGCUACUGUGCAUAAUACUGCAAUAGACAUGGGUGUGAGUUUUUUUUUUUUUAUUGUUGUCAUUGUUUUAAAGAUUUUAAAGUAAUCUCUACAGCCAACGUGGGGUUAAAACUUGCAACCCUGAGAUCAAGAGUCACAUGCUCUACACUGAGCCAGCCAGGCACCCCUGGUGUGAGUUUUUUUAACAGCCUCAUUGAGAUAUAAUUCAUAUACUAUAAUUCAUUUAAUGUAUACAAUUCAAUGGGUUUUAGUGUAUUCACAGAUAUGUGCAACCAUCGAUGGCUCUAGUCAAUUCAAGAACAUUUUCAGGGGUGCCUAGGUGGCUCAGUCGGUUGAACAUCUGACUCUUGAUUUCAGCUCAGCUCAUGAUCCCAGGGUCAUGGGAUCAGCCCUUGUCUAGCUCCAUGAUGAGCGCAGAUCCUGCUUCAGAUUUUUUCUCUUCCCUCUGCCCUUCUUCCCAGCUUGUGCUCUCUCUUUCUGAAUCUAAAAAAGAAGAGAGAGAGAGAACAUUUUAAUCACUUCCAAAAGAAACCUUGUACUUUUUAGUUGUUAUCCCUUAUCCCUCCAUUCUCCCCACCCAGCCCUAAACAACCACUAAUCUCUCUGUCUUACAGAUUUCCCUUUCCUGGACCCUCAAAGGAAUGGAAUCAUAUAGUAUGUGGCCUUUUGUGACCAGCUUCUUUCCCUUUGCAUAAUUUUCAAGGUUCAUCCAUGUUGUAGCAUGUGUUAGUACUUUACUCCAUAUGUGGCUGAAUAAUAAUACAUUGUAUGGUUAACCAUAUUUUGUUUAUUCAUUCACCAGUUGGUGGACAUUUGGGUUCUUUCCACCUUUUGGCUGCUAUGAAUAAUGUUGCUGUAAACAUCUGUGUACAAGGUUUUGUGUGACAUAUGCUUUCAUUUCUUUUGGAUAUAUACCUAGAUGUGGAAUUUCUGGGUGAUAUAGUAACUGCAUUUGAUCAUUUGAGGGAUUGCCAGAUUAUUUUCCACAGUAGCUGUACCAGUUUUACAUUUCUACCAGUAGCAUAUAUGAGGGUUCUAAUUUCCCCACAUCCUUAUAACUAUGACUUUUUUUAUUCUAUCCACCUUUCUAGGUGUGAAGUGGUGUCUUGUGUUUAUUAUUUGCAUUUCCCUAACGGUUAGUGAUGUUGAGCUCUGGCCAUUUGCAGAUCUUCCUUGGAAAAAUGUCUGUUCAGAUCCUUUACCCAUUUUUAAAUUGGGUUGUCUUUUUAUUGAGUUGUGAGAGUUCUUCAUAUACUUUACAUAGAAGUCCCUCAUCAGAUAUGUAAUUGCAGAUAUUUUCUCCCAUUGUGGGGGUUGUCUUUUCUCUCUUCCAUAUAGGCAAAUUAUAGCUACAAAUUUCCCUCUGAUCACUGCUUUCACCCCAUAAGUUUUGGUAUGUUGUAUUUUAGUGUUUUGGGUACAUUUUAUGUUCAUUUUCAUUCAUGUCAAGUAUUUUCCCUAGUAUGUGAUGACUUGCUUCUGUCUUCUUUCAAAAUUCUGCCUAUGUCUUUUGAGAGUUUGGUUAUGCUGUGUCUAGGUAUGCAUCCCUUUGAGUUUAUCUUAUUUGGAGGGUAAAUUCAUUGAAUUUCUUUAAUGUGUAGCUUAAUUUUUGUCAUCAAAUAUGGGGAACUUUUAGCCAGUAUUUUUCAAAUAUUCUUUCUGCCCUUUCUCUCUUCUUCUGUGUAUGUUGGUAUGCUGCACGGUGUCUCGUAGGUCUCUGAGCAUCUGUUCAUUUUUCUUUUCUUCUGUUCCUCAGGCUAAUUUCAAUGGCCCUAUCUUGGAGUCUGCUGAUUUUUUUUCUGCCUGGGCAUGUCUGCUGUUGAGCCCCUCUAGUUAAUUUUUUUUUUUUUAUUUCAGUUACUAGACUUUUCAACUUGUAGGUUCCUUUCUGUAACUUCAAUAUCUUUACUGAUAUUCUCUACUGAGACAUCAUUCUUAUGAUUUCCUUUAGUUUAGUUUAGUUUUUUUGUUUUGUUUUAUUUUUUUAGAGAGCAUGAGGAGGGGAGAGAGGGUGAGGAAGGGAGAGAGAAUCUCAAGCAGGCUCCCCGCUCAGCACUGAGCCUGACAUGGGUCUUGAUCCCACAACCCUGGGAUCAUGACCUGAGCUGAAACAAAGAGCUGGGCACACAACCAACUGAGCCACCAGGUGCCCCUCCUUUAGUUUUUUAUGCAUGGUUUCCUUUAGCUCUUCGAACAUAUUUAAACUAGCUGAUUUAAAAUCUGAUACUAGGGUAAAUUAAGACAUUAACAAAAAAGACAUUAAAAAGCUUGCUCUGUUCAUACCAAGAUUCAACUGUCUUUCUUAACUGAAUACUCUCUGGGCUGCUGCAGACUUUUGGUUAAUUUCCAAUGUUCUAUGAAAGUUGAUUCUGAUAAUAUGUGGCAAGGUUUUCAUUGCUUUUAUGGAGGGAACAAACAUUUGGUGGUUAUCACUGGACCAUUUUUUGUUGACUUCUUGCUUGGAUUUUGAUUCAAAUAAACUAUAGAAAGAUAUUUUUGAGACAGUUGGCAAAAAAACACAGAAUGGUUGUUAGAUUAUUAAAAACUUAACUUUUUGGACAGGAAAAUUGUAUUAAGGUCACAUAUAUUAAGGUGACCUUAAUAUACUCUAUACUUAUAUACUCUAGCUCACAAGAAAAAAGUAUGUGUGGGAAGAGAGAUAUGAAAUAAUGGCACAUAUUGAUGGUUGUUAGAACUGAAUAAUGGGUACAUGGAGGUUCACUGCACCAUUUUAUUUUUGUGUUUGAAAAUUUUUAUAAUAAAAUAAUUCUUAAAAGAAGAGGUGUGCCCUUGGAUCCAAACAAGACUGCCUUGAACUGGGAAAAAAUUGAGUCCCUAACUGGCUGUGGGUAGAAGAGAAUAAAACAAUGCCUGGAAGAUAGGCAGGGUGUGAUGUUGACAGCAUGAAGGCUAAAAGUAUAGAAUCAAUCAGGCACCCCCAGGAUAAAAGUGCAAGUUAUAUCACAAGUGAAGACAUGCAACCGUGUCUCAGUCUGGAAGGCUGCUCCCUAAUCCUGACUCCCAAGUCCAUGGUCUCAACCACCAUCCCCUGCCACAUCCCAGGGUAGUGGGAAAGACUUCUUUCCUGGGACUGGCC